CAACAUCCUACGUUGAAAAUGGACUAGACGAUACUGAUAACAAUAAUGGUUUUAUGCAAAAUUGCAGUGCAACAGAUCACUCAACGGUUGCUGAGCAUGAAUUAACAUUUUUAGCGCUUGGAAUAGUUUCAACAUCCUAUGUUUAAUAUGGAUUAGAAGAUUGCAGUACAGCAGAUUUUUCAAGCCAUGAUGAAACAUGAAUUAUCGUUUUGAGCACUUGGGAAAAUUUGGAUAUCCCAUGUUGAAAUUUGACUAGACAAUACUGAUAAUAAUAAUAAUA